CUGUAUUAUAAUCGUGGGGUACGACAUUGCCGGUUUCAUUGUUGCCACCGGUUCAUUAAAAGAACAAAAAAGAUAACAAUGCGUUCGUAUAACUGCAAAGCAGAUCCGGUUAUUUGUUAAUCGCGUAUAAAUCAACGGAGCAAUAGAUAAAAAAACAGUUUAUGCUAAUGGAUAAGAGCGGUAUCAAAACGGACGCGUUAUUACUGAGAUGGACGGAACGGAGCCUGGCUUCUUCGAGGUAUUACGAUCGCGAUUAAUCCGUCUGAAUAUCUUUUUUCAUUUUACGAUCGUAUAAUCGACGCCGACGAAGAAGACGCGCGUAAUAAUGUAAUUCUGUUUUAGCGAAUUCGUUGCCGCGAACCAGCGACGACAGGCUGCCGGUUAGACCGUGACGUCAUCAAUGUUCGGACUGCGCUUCAUACUCGAUCGACUUUUCGGAUCUACUGUCGCGCCUCCGGCGGUGGAGGCUUCACUUACGACGCGCGUCUCCGCUACCAGUCGAUCUUCUCCCACUUACCGCGCCCUCGUAGGAUCACCGUGACGUCACCAAUGCUCGGAGUGCACUUCGAGCUCGUUUGGCUUUUCGAAUCUACUCUCGCGUCUCCGGCGGCGGAGGCUCCACUUACGACGCGCGUCUGCGCUAACAGUCGAUCUUCUCCCACUUACCGCGCCUCUUGCAAGGAUCCGAACGUCGGUGACGUCACGGUUUAGCCAGCCGCCCGGCAGCUCUUCCGCGAAACAGACAUAUCGCCGUCUAAGAAACGAUCAACAUCACAAUUUAUACGGCACGGAACGACAACAAUUGGGGCCCGAAAAUAUGUACAAAAAAAGAUGACGAGUGCCGGCGGCGUUCGCGAAAGGCCAUAAUCGCCGGAGGGUUAAGUUUACAUUGGGCACAGUUGACUUACGUAUAGCCGGCUAAUACGUUCAACAAAGUGGACUUUCCGGCGCCGGAGGGUCCCAUAAUGGCGACCAGUUCGCCAGCCUUGAAUUCCCCGUUGACGCCAUGGAGAAUUUCUUUGUACGCUGCAACAAGAAAAACAAUGAAAUUGUAAUUACAAUAGCAGCAACGUGCAUAUAAAAGUCGCGACCAAAAUACA